rnacentral:sRNA from 1 species
CCAUGCACAAGUAGGUCUCCUGCCAGCAUCCCGUCCCCACUCCUCUUCCUAUAACCAUCCUUCUAAUUCCCUUCUGUCUCUCCUCAGCGGCCCGCCUAAGUCCAGUGCCUCCCAAGCAGGGGCUGCAGCGGGGCAGGGAGCCCCCGCCCCUGCCCCCGCCUCCCAGGAGCCCCUUCCCAUAGCUGGACCAGGUGGGACAGGAAUUUUGGGAGGAGGAUGGGGCCUGUGUUGGUGAGGGCUGGUUGGGAGAGAGGGACAGAGGGGAUGCCUGUCUCACCUGCCCCUGUCGCUGUGUCCCUGGUUCCGGCCCCAGCGAUAGCACCUGCUCCACGGCCGCUUGGCUCCAUUCAGAGACCAAACAGCUUCCUCUUCCGUUCCUCCUCUCAGAGUGGCUCAGGCCCUUCCUCACCAGACUCUGUCCUGAGACCUCGGCGGUCCCCCCAGGUUCCAGAUGAGAAGGACUUAAUGACUCAGCUGCGCCAGGUCCUGGAGUCCCGGCUGCAGCGGCCCCUGCCUGAGGACCUGGCCGAGGCUC